rnacentral:lncRNA from 1 species
CUGGGAGAACCUCACGUCCCCGGGUCCCACCAAGGAGCCUGUCUGGAUCCAGGUGUGCAGAGGCAGAGUGUGUACUGCUCGGAGCGGCAGGCAGGGCCCGUGGACGAGGAGCACUGUGACCCCCUGGGCCGGCCCGAUGACUGCCAGAGGAAGUGCAGCCAGCAGCCCUGCCCUGCCAGCAGGUGGUGGGCAGGUGAGUGGCAGCUGUGCUCCAGCUCCUGCGGGCCUGGGGGCCUCUCCUGCCAGGCUGUGCUCUGCAUCCGCAGCGUGGGGCUGGAUGAGCAGAGCGCCCUGAAGCCACCCGCCUGUGAACACCUUCCCCGGCCCCCUACUGAAACCCCUUGCAACCACCAUGUGCCCUGUCCGGCCACGUAGGCUGUGGGGAACUGGUCUCAGUGCUCAGUGACAUAUGAGGAAGGGACUCAGCACCGAAAUGUCCUCUGCAUCAGUGACACCGGUGUCCCCUGUGACGAGGCCCAGCAGCCAGCCAGCGAAGUCACCUGCUCUCUGCCACCCUGUUGGUGGCCCCUGGACACACUGGGCCCUGAAGGCUCAGGCAGCGGCUCCUCCAGCCACGAGCUCUUCAACGAGGCUGACUUCAUCCCGCGCCACCUGGCCCCACGCCCUUCACCCGCCUCAUCACCCAAGCCAGGCACCAUGGGCAACGCCAUUGAGGAGGAGGCUCCAAAGCUGGA